rnacentral:ncRNA from 3 species
ACUUCCUGAGCCGGAACGAAGAGCUUUUUUUGGAAUGCGUGUUCCAACAAGCUUUUGGCUUACGGUUGUGAUGUUGUGUUGUUGUGUUUGCAAUUGGUCCGGGUUUGCGGACCAUGGUAGCGAAGCUACCCCUUUUCACUUCCUGUACA